ACUCUAAACCUCAGAUCAAACUGCAUUUACCAGACAAGACAAAAUUAAACACCUAGGUAGUGACACAAAAAGGUGAUAGAAUUCUUAGGAAACAAAUAAAUGAAAAUUGUAUCAUCUUCCGCAUUAUGUCUCGAUCCCAACAAUAGCUUUAAGGUAAGACACUAAACUCAGAACAACUGCAAUCAAUGGUCAACAGAAUGAAACAUCCAGGUAGGGAGGGUGAACAAAUCAUAAAUUAGUUAUCAUCCUCGUUUUAUCUCUGUCCCAUCAAUGGCUUCAGACAAGACUCUAAACCUUAAAUCCAACUGCAUGUUAGACAAGAGAGAACAGAACAUCCAGGUGGAGAGAGGAUGUAUUAGCACAGAACAAAAGAGUAUAAGUGCCGCGAAAUAAAUAAAUCAGAAAUUAGAUUAUCUUCCCCAUUGUGGAUCGACUCCACCAGUAGCUUUAAGAUAAGAAUAUAAACCUCAAAUCCAACUGCAUGCAAAAUGAAACAGACAGGGACCGGGUAAAAACACAGAAGGUAAAAGAAUUCUGAUGAAAUAAAUAAAUCAUCUAUUAGAUCUUCCCGGUUAUAUCCGGACCCAAGUGGCUUCCGACAAGACUCUAAAAAACUCAGACCGAACUGCAAUUCAAAGGACAAAUCAGAUUUAAAAAUUAGGCAACAUCCUCAAAUCGAACUGCAUGUCAUAGACAAGAGAGAACAGAACAUCGAGGUGGAGAAGGAUGUAUUAUCACAGAAUAAGGGAGUAUAAGCGACGUGACAUUAUUUAAACCAGAAAUUAGAUUAUCUUCCCCAUUAUGUAUUGACUCCGCCAGUAGCUUUCAGAUAAGUAUCUAAACCUCAAAUUCAACUGCAUGUAAUGGACAAAAUAGAACAUUAAGGUGGGGGGAGGGGAUAGAAUUCCCAAGAAAAAGAUUAAUCAUAUGUUAGAUCUUCCCCAUUAUGUCCCAGAAAGUAGCUUUAGAUAAAACUGAACCUCCAAUUGGUCACGGCAGGACCAAAACAUCCAAGUAUGAAUAUCCCCUUAGCACACAAGUUAAAUUAUCGUCCCCGUUAUUUCCCGUCCCAAUAGCUUUAAGAUACGACUCUAAACAUCCAAUCCAACUGCAUAUAACCGGCAAAACAGAUAAAACAUCCAGCCAUGGAGGGGGUAUAAGCACAAAAUAAGAGAUUGGCUGUCUUCCCCUUAUGUUCGUGCCCAUCAGGUGGUAAGAUAAUACUCCAAGCCUCAGAUCCAACUGUAUUCACUAGACAGGACAAAAUAAAUCACCUAGGUUGCGAGGGGGUAAUAGAUCCAUGAAAUUAAAAAUCACAAAUUAGAUUAUCUUCCCCAUUAUGUUCGAUCUCAUUAAUAACUUCAAGAUAAGACUCCAAACACGAGAUCCAACUGCAUGCAAUGGACAAACCAAUGGAACAUCCAGGUGGGGAAUAAAAAUUAAACGAAAUAAAUAAAUCAUAUAUCAGAUUAUCUUCUCAAUUAUGUCUUCAUCCCAUCAGUCAUCCAAAUUGUAUAUAACAGACAAACCCUGAGCACACAAUAAAUAAAAAAAUCAAGUAUCUUUUCCAUUAUGCUUCAAUCCAUUCAAUAGUUUUAAGAUAAGACUCUAAACAUCAUAUCCAACUGCAUUUACUCAGGUCUCUUGCUUACGAGAGAGGUGACCUAUCCACAUGAUCCAUAAGAGGCUGAAGUCUAGUAAAAUUAGAUUUUCAUCUUUCCAGAAGUUAGCUUUAGAAAAUAGAGAUGAAACUAGCACAACUUCCUAAAGACCACAAAUCAAAGGUACCAAAUGGUUGAACGACCACAGUCAUUUUUGUUGCAAGUUUCUGCAAAUAGAAAGGAAAAACGACCACCACUCGCCGAUCAACACAGCCCAAUCCAUCCUAUGUAGCAACCAAACUUCUCAAAACAUAACACGAAAUUGUCAUACAAGCAAAUCGACGAAAAGACCGAGAAAUGCUAAAAGCUCAAAACACUUGCCUUCAUCCAGAAAACAAAUAAAAUCAGCCAACAAUCAGACCAGCGUGGGAAAACAUGAAUCAAAUCCAAACCACGGGAUAUUAAAACGCACAUCACUCCAUAACCAAACAUCAUAAAUAUCUUGCCGGAACAAUUAUCAUACAAACAAGACCAGCAAAACCACCCAAUCAGAACCACAAACAGACAGGAACGAAAGAGAUUUAGAUAAAAUACAAGGUAGAUUAUCUUCCCCAUUAAGUUUCCAUCACAUCUGUAGCUUUACAUAAGACUCUGAAGCUCAUAUCCAACUGCAUUUUCCAACCAUUUGCUUAAGCGAUAGGUGACCCUGUGCAAACGGUCCAAGGAUACAUUUAAGAUCAGAUUCGUCAUUCCAAUAGCACAUGUAGUUUCAGAGAGUAAAAUGGAACUACGACAACUUCCCUUAAACCACAAAAAAAAAGGGUACCGACUAGUAGGACGCCUAAAUAAAUUAUCUUCCUGCUUAGGCAAUAGAUGAUAAGCAAUAGAUGAACCUGUCCAAAGGGUACAUUAGCGCUUGUAAAAUCAAAUUUACUAAUCGACUUGCCGAGUCAGUUCAAAAUAAUAUUAGAUGGAACUAGCAACACUUUUCUUUAAACCCCAAAACAGAGGUCCACCAUCACUUUUGUUGCAAAUGCCUGCAAACAGAAAGUAAAAGAAGAACAGAGGAUUUAAAGAUUGAUUUGAAAGCAAUAUGACUGUAUAAAGUAGUAAUAUGAAUAUUGGACGAAAAGGUGACGGUUGAGGGAGACAUAAGAAAAUACUAUCUCAAUAGUGUACCGUAGACGCAUCUCACUAAGCCUUCAACCAGAAGCAAGAAAACAGUUAGCUUUAGAAAAACAAGGAACACUGAGUCUUCAAACGGCGUAAAGAAGAAGCAAUUCUUUAGAUGAGACAGAUUAAACAGGUAGAGACUCUUUCAUGGUAAUUAUAAGCAUGUACCAGAUACUCCGAUUCCCCUGAGCCAAAAACAUCUUACGUGGUAACCAAACUUCUCAGGACUCCACACAAAACUGUCAUAUAAGCAAAACAAGGAUAAGGAAAAAUACUCAAACUUGAAGCUUCGUCUUCUCAUGAUUUAUUAUUGUUUCCGUCGAAGUCUAUGUCAUCUCAUAAAAGAAAAUAGAAAAAAUAGUGAACCGUAACCAAACAUCAUGACACAUGCCGUAUCAAAAUCACCCAAAUAAGAACAGGAAAUACUAUGGUCGUAUAAAGUAAAAAUCUGAAAAUCGAAUGACAAGGAUGAUGAUCACAUUAAGAAUAUGUAAUCUGGAACUGAAAAAAUCAUAUCCAACAGUAGACUCCACUAGAACCCACUGAGCAACAUAUUACACAAUCAGAAACGAAAGAAAGAUCCAUACGCUAAUUAAAUCACAAAAUAAAUUAUCUUCCCAUCAGAUCGAACCGAGAUCUCUAGCUUAAGCAAUUGACGAUCCUAUCCACAGUAUUCAGGUGUACAUAAGCUCCUAUCCACACUAUCCAUGUGUGCGUAAGCUCUAGUAAAAUGAGAUCCAUCGUUCUACUUGCACAUUUAGCUUAGCUCCAUAAAAUAAAGAUGAGACGAAGCACAACCUUCCUGAAACCACAAAACAGAAAGUACCAAACAGUAAUAAAGCGAAUUGAUAGCCACAAAAAUGUUUGUUGGAAAUUUCUGCAAACAAGUAGGAAAAGCAGUAAAGGUAUUUAAAAUAGAUUAUAAAAAAACUUGUGAUAUAAAGUUAGAAAAAUAAGGAGGAUGAGGGAGAGAGAGAGAAAGCAAGAUUGAACCAUAUCUGGAACUGACGUGUCUCAGAGCUGAAUUCCUACUUUAAUACAACACCUGUGGAUCAACACAGUCCAAAGCAAAGGUCGAAAGUCGAGAAAUAUCAUAUCUUGCACAUAUAUAUAUCAUAAGGAGAAUCAAAUCUUAAUCGGCAGAACAGAGAGAAGGUUCUUCAUAUGAGACAAAUAGGUUGAACAUCCAGUGGCAGACGAAAGUUUACCGGACACUCUGUUUAGAAUUGUCAUAUAAACACAAUCAUGACGAGGGGAGAACAUACUCGUAUUCAAAGCGCUUUCUUCUACAAGGAAUCUUUUUGAGAAAAAAACAAAUCAGCCGAUUACCGAAACCCUGGCAAGAGAAAACACAAUCCAAACGCAAAACCCAUGUUAAUAAACCACUUGUUAAUGCAUACGAAAACCACACCUAAUACCUCGCCGGAUCAAAAUUACCAAAAUAAAACCAAUUCAGAAUCACAAUCAGACGAACGACCCCGAAUCCAUGACGAUCCAAUUGUCAAACCGGCAAAAUAACCCCAAAUAAAAUCAAAUCAGGACCACAAUCAGACGGUAUCGCGAAAGAGAAGAAAAAACACGCGACGGAUAAUCAUUGAAUUGAAUUGCGCAGGUUUCAUAGCGACGAUGAUACAUAUAAUCUAGAAAAACGGAGACGACAAAUAAACAAAAGCAAUAAUCAAACAAAACUCUAAAAUCCGCAGAUAACCAACAAAGACGAGAGACGAAGGAAUGAGUUACGGUUGUAGGAGGGGACGGGUAUUUAUAGAAGAGUCGGUGUUGAGUGGACGGCUGAGAUUAAUCGGAUCAAAGAUACCAAAUGGUUGGACAACCACCGUCAUUUUUGUCGCAAGUUUCUGCAAAUAGAAUUUGAAAUGUAAAAAAUAAUAGAUUAUGGAGGGAUUCAUAAGAAUAUAAAAUUUGGCAUCACUAUCGUACUCACCACCACUCGUUGUUCAACACAACCCAAAUCAUACUAUGUAGCAACCGAACUUCUCAACACAUAACACGACAUUGCCAUACAAGCAAAUUCACGAAAAGGCGGCGAAAAGCCCAAAGCUCGAAACACUUUCCUUUUUCCAGAAAUCCUAUGACCGCGCGGAAAACAAAAUCAAACCAGCCAACAACCAGACCAGGAUGGGAAAAUAUGAACCAAAUCCAAACCACGGGAUAUUAAAUUGCAUAUCACUCCAUCACCAAACAUCAUAAAUACCUUGCCGGAUCAAUUAUCAUUCAUAGAAGACCUUGACAGCACCACAGAGAAAAGAAACAUAUAAGACACGCUCCCGAUAAUUAGACUGUAAGACCAGCAAAACCACCCAAAUCAGAACCACAAACAGAAAGGCACGAAAGAGCUUUAGAUAAAACACAAGUUAGAUUAUAUUCCCCAUUAAGUAUCCAUCACAUCUGUAGCUUUACAUAAGAGACUCUGAAGCUCAUUUUCCAACGGUUUGCAAAGGGUCCAACGAUAUAUGUAAAAUCAGAUUCAACAUUCCUAUAGCACAUGUAGUUUCAGAUAUUAAAAUUGAACUAAGACACUUCCCUUAAGCCACAGAAGAAAGGUACUGACUGGUAGGACAGGUAAAUAAAUUAUCUUUCCGCGUAGUCAAUAGGCCAGAGUAAUGUAGAUGGAACUAGCAAAAACUUUCUUUAAACAGAAGGCCCACCAUCAUUUUUGUAGCAAAUGUCUGUAGACAGAGAGGAAAAGAAGAACAGGGGAUUUGAAGAUUGAUUUGAAAGUAAUAUGACCGUAUAAAGUAGUAAUAUGAAAAUUGAGGGAGCCGUUAGAAAAUACUCUCUCAAAGAAUCUGAGACGCAUCUCACUAAGCCACUACCUGCUGCCGAUCAACACAUUUUGCAACCAGAAGCAAGAAGGUUUUCAUGAGAUAAAUAAAUCAGAAAUUAAAUUAUCUUCCCCGUCAUGUUGUCCGUUAAUCAGACUCAACCUCAGAUCCAACUGCACUAAUCCAUCUUUUGCUGAAGCAAUGGGUUAUCCUGUCCAAAGAUGGAACUUCAGCAGACCCCCUAAAAUACACAAACAAAAGUUACCAAAUGGGAGGACAUCCACCAUCAAUUUUCGAGAGGAAAAGCAAAACCCGGAUAAGGAGAAAAUACUCAAACUUGAAGCUGUUUCUUCUACCAAAAAUCAUAUUUUAACCAUUUCCUUCCAAGUCUAUGCCAUCUCGUAAAAGAAAACCAAACCAACGGACAAGAGAAAUCAUAAUCCAAACCCACACAAUCGAAAAAUAGACAAAAUAGUGGCCGAUAAGGAAACAUCAUACCACAUGCCAUAUCAAAAUCACCCAAAUAGAUUUGAAAACAUAUGGUCAUAUUUCAAAAUUGAAUGAGAAGGAUGAUGAUUACAUAAGAAUAUACAAUCUGGAACUGACAAAAACUCACUGAUCGAUAAGCUAAUUAAAUCACAAAAUAAAUUAUCUUGCCAUCAUCAGAUCCAACCGAGAUCUCUAGCUUAAGCAAUUGGCGAUCCUAUCCACAGUAUUCAGUUGUACUUAAGCUCCUUAUCCAGGUAUACAUACGCUCUAGUAAAAUCAGAUCCUCAUUCUACUUGCACAGUUAGCUUAGCUCCAUAAAUAAACAUGAAACACAACCAACAAAACAGAAAGUACCAAAUAGUAAUAAAGUAGUAAAGCAGUAAAGGGAUUUAAAAGAUACAUUAAAAAAAUUGUGAUAUAAAGUUAUAAAGUUAGAAAAAUAAGGAGAGAGAGAGAGAGAGAGAGAGAGAGAGAGAGAGAGAGAGAGAGAGAUUGAAAUAUCUGGAACUGACGGGAGUUUCAGAGCUGAGUUCCUACUUUAUUACCACAACUGCGGAUCAACACAGUCGAAAGCAACGGUUGAAGGUCAAGAAAUAUCAUAUUGCACAUAUAUAUCAUAAGGAGAAUCAAAGAGAGGUUCUUCAGAUGAGACAAAUAGGUUGAACAUCCAGUAGCAGAUCAAAAUAGCAGUCAAAAGGACGAAACUUUACCGGACACUCUGUUUAGAAUUGUCAUAUAAACACAAUUAAGACAAAAAGGAGAACAUACUCGUAUUCAAAGCGCUUUCUUCUACAAGGAAUCUUGUUCAAACAAGGUUGACAAAAAAUCAAAUCAGCCGAUUACCAAACCCUGGCAAGAUAAAACACAAUCCAAUCGCAUAACGCCUGAUAAUAAACAAUAAUAGACAACUCGUUGAUACCAUACCUAAUACCUCGAAAAUCACCAAAAGAAAACCAAUUCAGAAUCACAAUCAGACGGCCUCGCAAAGAUACGACCCCAAAUCCAUGACGAUACGAUUGUCAAACCGGCAAAAUAACCCCAAAUAAAAUCAAAUCAGGACCACAAUCAGACGGCAUCACAAAAGUGAAGAAAAAAAACACGCGACGGAUAAUCAUUGAAUUGAAUUGCGACGCGACGGAUAAUCAUUGAAUUGAAUUGCGCAGGUUUCUGCAGGAAAAGCAGUAAAGGGAUAUAAAAGAGAUAUUAAAAACAAUUGCAAUCUAAAGUUAGAAAAGUAAGGAGGAUGAGGGAGAGAGAGAGAAAGCAAGAUUGAACAAUUUUUGGAGCUGACGGAUAUCUAAGAGCGGAGUUCCAACUUUAUUACCACACCUGUCGAUCAACAGGUUCCAAAGCAAAGGUCUAGGAAUAUCAUAAGGAGAAUCAAAUCUUAAGGAGCAUCAAAAUCACCACAGAAAAGCACAAUCAAACCCUCUCGCAAAGAGGAGAAAUUGUUAUACCGGCGAAAUCACCCAAAUAAAAUUAAACAGAACCACAAUAAGACAGGAAUCGGAUAAGAGAGAGAAAAAAAAAAAGUAUACAACUGAGAAGUACAAACCUUUUGCAAUUUCAGUUCCAAAAAUUUCAGAAUUUAAAAACUUUGGACACUUAUAUUCCACCGAUGACCAGUUGUGAAUCAGUUAAAAAAAAAAAAAAAAAAAGAGAGAGAGAACGAGAUCUAAGAAAACAAAGAUUACAAGUUAUUAUGAUUCAGAACUUAUUCAACAUUUCAACAUCCAUUUCAUGCAUGACGCAGAGACUAAAUCCCAUUUCUAACGAAAUUUAGAAAAAUGGGAAAAUUUCACAGUUAGAUUUUCUGUGCCAUCCUCCUUUACCCGGGCUUGGGACCGGCUGUGCUGAGCAAAUCUAGCAGGCACAGGUGGAGUUACAAGAAUAUACCUAUAUAUACAACUACCAACACUAAAACGCACACAUAAUCACACAUAGAUAUAAACCGUUCCAGAACAAAUAUUAAAGCUGAGAAAUAGUUUGAUUCAUAUACGAUAGUAGAUUGGAUAAAAGCUUAGUUACUUAUAAAAACUUUUGUACUCAUUUCAAUCAUUCAUUUCCCUUUUCUUUCUUCCAACUAUUGUGGAUAACAUUAGAGAUAAAAGGAAAUACCUCAUGUGAAAAAAAUUACCAAAGUCGUAUCCAAGAGGACAUAAAUUUUAUCAAAUGAGGUAAACUAAUACUCACAUAAUUACAUAUUAAAUUUCACGCACUUGAAAAUUCUCACAUAGUAGAAAUCACGAUGAAGAGCUGACCAAGAACUGUGCAGAAUGGUAAUCCAAAGAAUAUUCAGAAGAUUUUAAACAUCCUCAAAACAGCAGAGCAACAAAUCCAAAGUCUCCUCAUAAGAAUCACAACAUGCGAGCAGAAACAAGGCCCCAACAAUCAACUUCAAAUACUACUUGACAACUGAACAAGGUUUAUCAUUCUGAUAUGCAUAGUGCCAACUUAGCUUGUGUAGAAAAAUUGCCAGGAAGAAAAAACCAAGUCUUCGUAGGAUGCCUAUAACUCAAUGCAUAUAAACCAGAAAGAGAUGUUUAAGGCCACAAUAAAGAAUACUACUCACUUGAUCUGCAGAAGAAGCACGUUCCACACCAACUAAAAAGCACACACAAUUCCAGUGCCAAAUAAAAGAGAAACCGCUAGAAACAAAACUCUGCAUAAACCUUGCGAAGAAACCAAGGAACACCAUACGAAGGCACAUUGGGAGCGUCUUAUUGCUAUUCAUGAUCUCAUAUUUUGUAGUGAAAUUCAUGAGGCAAGUUAAUAUGAUAAAAGUGUAUCCUGGAAUUGAGAAAUUCAUGAUAGGGAUGAUUAACUGAAGACUGCAAAGAAAAAUAAAGAUAAUAAAAAAUCAUAGCUCCGGGAAAGCGAAGCACCGAAAGAUAAAAAGUUAAUAACCAACAAGUAAAAGAAGAGUCUAAAUGCUCGACACAUAGUUGGCAAAAGUUCAAUUAUGAAUAAGCUUUUUAGCCUCUAGUUUAAAGCCCAAUAGAAUAUCAAUGUCAACAUUCGUUUUAGUAGAUUACUUACAAAAGUGAAUUUUCGGACAAAUAGAGACUUCAGAAACUAGUGAACCUAGGAUGGCAUGUUAAUUAAGAAGAAUGCAAGAAACAGAUUUAAAAUGCCACUAUUGAAAAUGAAUUUUAUAUUCCGCAAGUUUAUGAAAAUAUAAAAUAAAAAUCCAAAUUCAAAUCAGUACAUUAUAACUUAUAAUUAUAUAAAUCUGGACAACUAGAAUCCUAAAAAACUCGAGGAAGAACAUAGAAAAUAGAUUAUAGGUAGUAGAAAGAAGUAAAAGAGUCGACGCAGAACAUGCAGCCAAAGCAGAGAUGAGGGAACUUUUUCCUUACUAUCAUGAAUUCUAACCAAUAUAUUAUAAACAGUUACAAUCUACCCGUCAUCAUCCAUAAACUACAAAUUAUAAUUUAUAACCUCUUCAAGAUUAGAAAAUUUUAUAAAUUAAAGAUUAUAGAUUAUAAAUUGCUAAUGUCUAUAUGUAGAAAAAUGAAAAAAAGUUAACUAGGAUUUCUGAGAGAACUAAAAUAAUCUCCAUGUUUUUUUUUUGGCGUAAUAAAGUUCACUAGGAUUUCAUCAGUGCUUUUGGGAGAUUGUGUUUCCUAUUAACUAAUCUUGGCAAGUAAGAAUGAUAUCAAAAUUUGCUUCCAAUGGCCAAAAAAGGGGUUUAGUUAAAGGAAAUAUAUCCAAAAAAGGGUGACGAUAUAAUUAAUAAUUAUUAAUUAAUCAAACCAGUUUAGGCGGAAAUAGGACAGACAAAUCAUAUACUUGCAGCCAAAAAACAGAUUGCCAUCAACAAAAAGUAAUGUAAAUAAGUAGUGUGAUAGAAAGAGCAAUUCAGACCAAUAUUUGUUAUCUUGAAGAAAUUCGUUAACCAAGAAACGUAAACAGGGUCAAUAGCUUACUUUGCUGGUUUCACUGCUUCACAUAAUGUAGAGUCCUUCAAAAAUGUUAACCCAAACCACCAAAUAAUAUAAUAACCACACUUAGGGUGAAAAAUCUUCUUAGAUCAAAGCCAUACAACAUCAACUCGAAUUAGAUCAAAGCACAAGUUCAGUACCAGCUCCAUGUAGGAAAGAUCUCCAAAGAUAAGAACUAUAAAACACAAGCACAACUCGCAAACACAACCCAGAAAUUUCAACGAACAAACUGCCGACAACAGAAAUAACUAAAGAAAUAGAGGAUGUUCAAUCAAACGAGUCUUGGCAAUCCAUUAAGAAGACGUAAGCUGAGAUAAAACCCUUAAAAGGCCUGAAAAUAUAAUACAAAUCGAAUUUCACCUACACCAAAUACGCUGGUUAAUGAAGUGAUGAUGAACGGUCAGAAAAUUCCAACGACAGAGAAUCGAUGGAGAGCAGUUAACAUAUGAUAGGGCCAAUCCCAUCUAGGUUCUCAAAAAAAGGCGAGCAAACCCCAAAACCGGAAGAACAUAGAGAUCAAACAACCAUAGGACUAAACUCAAUGGCAGGGAAGGAGAACAGACUUGUGGAAAUUUUCCAAAAUUCGAAAGCUUUAUCGAAUAUCAAGAAAAUAUCAAGACAAACUGUAUUAUUCUCCACAGCAAAGACAGAUUACCAGGGCCUUAAUGCAUAAUCAUACGUUCCAAUUCAGCCUAUUUUACCACAAAAAAGGAAAGCAAGUCCCAUAACCAGAAAAUACAUCAACUUCCCCAUUAUGUCGUGAUCGAAUCAGUAGCUUUAAGUCAAGACUAUAAACCUCAAAUCCAACUGCAUGCAAAGUUAAGAAAAAAUGAAACAGACGGGGACCGGGUAAACACAGAAGGUAAAAGAAGUCCGAUGAAAUAAAUAAAUCAUCAAUUAAAUCUUCCCCGUAAUGUACCGACCCAAGUAGCUUCCGACAAGAUUCUAAAAACCUCAGACCGAACUGCAAUUUAAAGGACAAAUCAGAUAUAAAAAUCAGGCAACAUCCAUGUAGGAAGGAGGGGUAUUUGAACACAAUAUGGAAAUAGUAGUCCUAUAAAAUAAAUAUAUCACUAAUUAUAUUAUCUUCCACAUUUAGGUAGUGAGAGAUAUUAGGACACAAAAAUUUAUAGUCAAUAAGAAACAACAAAAAUUAGAUCAUCUUCCCCGUUACGUCUCGAUCCCAACAAUAGCUUUAAGUAAGACACUAAACAAAGAACUGCAAGCAAUGGAUAACAAAAUGAAACAUCCAGAUAGGGAGGGUGAAUUAAGUCCCAUCAAAUGCUUCAGACAAAACUUUAAACCUCAAUUCCAACCGCAUCAUAGACAAGAGAGAACAGAACAUCCAGGUGGAAAAGGAUGUAUUAGUACAGAAUAAGGGAGUUUAAGUGCCAUGAAAUAAAUAAAUCAGAAUUUAGGUUAUCUUCCCCAUUACAUAUGAACUCCACCAAUAGCUUUAAGAUAAGAAUCUCAAGUUCAACUGCAUGCAAUCGGCAAGACAAAAUGGAACAUUCAGGUGGGGAGGGGAUAUUAGCACUAAAAUAGGGAAAUUCCCGUGAAAAAAAUCAAUCAUAUGUUAGAUCUUCCCCAUUAUGCCCCACCAAGUAGCUUUAGAUAAAACUGAACCUCUUACAGGCCGCGGCAAAACAAAAAAUCCAGGUGGGGAGGGAGCAUUAGCAUACAAUAAGCGAAUAGCAGUCCUAUGAAAUAAAUAACUCACAAGUUGGAUUAUUUUCCCCGUUAUUUCUCGUUCCCAUAGCUUUAAGAUACGACUCUAAACAUCCAAUCCAACUGUAUUCAACCAGACACAAAAUAAGAGAUUUGGCUGUCUUUUGACUCAAAUAGAUCGGAAAUUAGAUUAUCUUCCCCUUGUGUUUGUGACCUCUGAUCCAAAUGCAUUUACCAGACAGGACAGAAUAAAUCAUCUAAGCCGCGAGGGGGUGAUUAGCACGAAAUAGAACUAUGAAUUUAAAAACAAAAAUUAGUUCCCCAUUUGUUCGAUCCCAUUAGUAGCUUUAAGAUAAGACUCCAAACCCGAGAUCGACUGCAUGAACGAACCAAUGGAACAUCCAGGUGGGGAGGGGGCUUUAGCACACAAGGAAGGAAUAAAAAUGCAAACGAAAUACAUAAAUUAUAUAUUAGAUUAUCUUCCCAAUUUAUGUCUUCAUCCCAUAAUCAUCCAAAUUAUAUAUAACGGACAAACCCUGAGAUCUGAAUCCAACUGCAUUUGAUGGACAAGAAUGAAAAAAAAUUAAGAUGGCUGAGUGGGUGGAGGGAGGAUUGUGUGAGCACACAAUAAUUCAAAAAAUCAAUUAUCUUCUCUAAUAUGCUUCAAUCCAUUCAAUAGCUUUAAGAUAAGACUGUCUAAACCUCAUAUCCAGCCAGCUGCAUUUACUCAGGUCUUUUUCUUACGAGAAAGGUGAUCUGUUCACAUGAUCCAUAAGAGGCUAAAGUCUCGUAAAAUUAGAUUUUCAUCAUUCCAGUAGUUAGCUUUAGAAAAUAAAGAUGAAACUAGCAUGACUUCCUAAAGACCACAAAUCAAAGGUACCAAAUGGUUGGACAACACCGUCAUUUAUGUUUCAAGUUUCUGCAAAUAGAAAGGAAAAACGAAAUAGGAUUUGAAAUGUAAAAAAUAAUAGAUUAUGGAGGGAUUCAAAGAAUAUUAACUUAACAUCACUAUCGUACUCACCACCACUCGUCGAUCAACAGUCAACACAGCCCAAACCAUCUUAUGUAGCAACCGAACUUCUCAAAACAUAACACAAAAUUGUCAUACAACCAAGCAAAUUCACGAAAAGACGGAGAAAUGCUCAAAGCUCGAAACACUUUCCUUUACCCAGAAAUCCUGACCGCGCAGAAUUAAAAAAAAAAAAUCAAACCAGCCAACAACCAGACCAAGAUGGGAAAACAUGAACCAAAUCCAAACCACAUGAUAUUAAAUUGCAUAUCACUCCAUAAGCAAACAUCAUAAAUACCUUGCCAGAUCAAUUAUCAUUCAAAGAAGACCUAGACAGCGCCACAGAGAAAAGAAACAUAUAACAGAGGCUCCCGAUAAUUAGACUGUAAGACCAGCAAAACCACCCAAAUCAGAACCACAAACUGAUAGGCACGAAAGAACUUUAGCUAAAACACAAGUUAGAUUAUCUUCACCAUUAAGUAUCCAUCACAUCUGUAGCUUUACAUAAGAGACUCUGAAGCUCAUUUUCCAACGGUUUGCUUAAGAAAUUGGUGAUCCUGUGCAAAGGGUCCAAGGGAUACAUGUAAAAUCAGAUUCAUCAUUCCUAUAGCACAUGUAGUUUCAGAUAGUAAAAUUGAACUACGACACUUCCCUUAAGCCACAAAAGAAGGGUACUGACUGGUACGCCAGAGUAAUGUCUGCAGACAGAAAGCAAUAUGACCGUAUAAAGUGUAAUAUGAAAAUUGGACGAAAAGGUGAUAGUAGGGAGACAUUAGAAAAUACUCUCUCAAAGAAACUGCCGAUCAACACAUUUUGCAACCAGAAGCCAGAAAUUUUUUAUGAGAUAAAUAAAUCAGAAAUUAAAUUAUCUUCCCCAUCAUGGCGUCCGUUAAUAAACUCAACCUCAGAUCCAACUGCACUAAUCCAUCUUUUGCUGAAGCAAUGGGUUAUCCUGUCCUAAGAUGGAACUACCGCAGACCCCUAAAAUACACAAACAAAAGUUACCAAAUGCGAGGACAUCCACCAUUAAUUUUCGAGAGGAAAAGCAAAGCUGGGAUAAGGAGAAAAUAUUCAAACUUGAAGUUGUUCCUUCUACCAAAAAUCAUAUUUUAACCAUUUCCUUCGAAGUCUAUGCCAUACAUGAAGUAGUACAUUAUCUGACAAACUAAAAGCACAAACAACUCCAGUGCAAAAUAAAAGAGGAACUAAUAGAAAUAGCAUCCAAACGCCUUAGAUGAAGACACAUUUGGGGGCUUAUUGCAAGUCAUUAUCUCAUAUUUUGUAGUGAAGUUCAUGAGGCAAGUGGAUAUGAUAAAACUGUCUCCCGGAACCAAGAAAUUCGUGAUAGGGAUUAACCGAAGACUGUCAAAGAAAAAUAAAGUAAACAAAAAAAAUCACAGCUCCGGAAAAGCGAACCACCCAAAGAUAAAAAGUCAAUAACCAACAAGCAAAAGAAGAGUCAAAAUUCCUAACACAUAAUAGGCAAAAGUUUAGUUAUGAAUAAGAAAUGUCAACACUCGUUUUAGUAGUCAUAUCAAAUUGCAAUUUUACUUGGUAAAGUGAAUUUCGGACAGAUAAUUAUAAUCAAAACUUAUGGAUUGAAACUGGUGGACCUAGGAUGGCAUGUUAAUUAAGAAGAAUGCAAGAAACAUGUUUAAAAUGCACCAUCAAAAAUAAAUUUUAUAUGCAGCAAGUUUAUAAAAAUAUAAAAUAAAAAAUUCAAAUUCGAAUGAGUACAUUAUAAUUUAUAAUUUAUGAAUUAUAUAAAUCUUGAUCAAUAGAAUCCUAAAAAAACUAGAGAAGAACAUAUAAAAUAGGUUAAAUGUAGCAGAAGGAAGCAAAAGACUCCAUGCAGAUCAUGCAGCCUAAGCAGAGAUUAGGGAAUUUUAUCCUUAGUGUAACCAUAUCAUAUAGAAAAUUCUAGCCAAGAUAUUAUAAACAGAUAAUUUCUAGGCAAGAUAUUAUAAACAGAUAAAAUCUAGCCGCAAUCAUCCAUCAAUUAUAAUUUACAAUUUAAAUUAUCCUAUUCAAGAUUAGAAUAUUUAAUAAAUUAAAGAUUCUAGAUUAUUCGAUUACAAAAAGAGAGUAGAGCUAUAUAUGUCAUUAUGAUUACCUUAAUUCCUGCUAAGAAAACUGAGAAACCAGCAUAACACCAUCAACUCAGCAACCAAACUCUACGAGGUACUAGGAAGACGAACCCGAGCAUAGAUAAAUAUGUUUUACUGAACAAUAAAUAUACAGCACAAAAAGCCACAAAAAGAAACCAAAGGACAUGGAGACAAAGUUCAAGAAGCUACACGUAAUUGGAUUUGCCUAUUGUUAAAGUUAUCAAAUGGCAUAAAUAAUUGUUAGUAUAGUAGUUCAAAAUUCAGAUAUGUAAUAUAUUUCGCUAAUGUCUGUGUACAGAAAAAUGAAAAAAGCCAACGAGGAUUUCUGAGAGAAAUAUAUAAUCUCCAUGUUUUUUUCGCAUGAUAAAGUUAACCAGGAUUCAUCGGUGCUUUUGGGGCCUCGUGUAUCCUAUUAACUAAUCUUGGCAAGUACGAAUGAUAUCAAAAUUUUCUUUUAAAGGCCAAAAUAAAAGGUUUGGUCAAGCGAAAUAUGUCCAAAAAAGGGUGAUCUGCUAGCAAUCAAAACAGCACUUUGAUGAUAUAAUUACUAAUUAAUCAAACCAGUUUAGGCAGAAAUAGGACAGACAAAUCAUAAAGUUAAUUAAAAUGCAAACGGUAAGUAAACCUACGUCUGUUUUAAGCAGAGAAUAGAAAUCAAGGACAGAUCAGAAAGCACAAGACAAUGAAACAUCGAUGUAGUGACGAGGUAACAGAAGUCCUCUGAAAUAAAUAAAUCACAAAUUAGUUGUCUUCCCCAUUGUGCCUUUAGACAAGACUUUAACCUCAGAUCCAACUGCAUUUAAUAGACAAGAUAGAAAAAAAGCACAUAAGGUAAUAGAAAUACUAUGAAAUAAACAAAUCACAAAAUGCGCCAACUUCCCCAUUAUGUCGUGAUCCAAUCAGUAGCUAAGACUCUAAACCUCAAAUCCAACUGCAUGCAAAGUUAAGAAAAAAUGAAACAGACGGAGGGUAAAAAAACACAGAAGGUAAAAGAAGUCCUAUGAAAUAAAUAAAUCAUCAAUUAGAUCU
rnacentral:lncRNA from 1 species